ensembl:lncRNA
CAGAGAUGGGGGACCCGGGCACUCCAGGGACUGCACAGCCAGGUCCCUCACCCGUGCGCGGGGCUCCGUGCCAAGCCUAGUGGAUUCGGGGUCUACGUCGGGUGGUGUCCCGCGGCGUCCCUGAGUCACGCCUCCACGUGCAGACGCCGGGCUGGGUGUGGUAGGGGUGCCAGACCUACAGGCUCGAUAAGCGCAGGAUCUGUCUUCCAAGUUAAUGCAGGCAUCGUCUUUCUCAAGUGUUUUGCACACCAUAAGGAGUGACUAGCUUUCUUCCCUGCAACAUCUGUUUCCUCACCACCCACUGCCUGACCACGGAGACAGUGUCACUUAUGUUCUGUCACAGCAGCACCCCACUUCCAGAGUUCAAAGAAGCUGGUGUCUUUUUCCUUUAUUAUCCACGUUCUUCUUGAGCACAGAGAGUGGAAAAAUGGGUUUCGAGAGGUGGCUGCGUGCCCCAGUUCGGCCGACAGCAGAGCCGGCCCGGCCUGUGCUUCCUGUGCAUUACAUCCUGGAAGUCACAGCACGGCAGCCACAGAGCUCUUCUUCCUUCCCAUCACAGCUGCAUAGUGCUGCAUUGCCUGGAUGCUCCGUCUUUAUCCAGCCACUGUCCUACAGAUGGGCAUUUGGGUUGUUUCCAAUAUUUUGCAGUUUAACCAAUGCUGCAGUAACAUAAAACCUCUAGGACAGUGGGUGAACAGAAAUGGACAGUGGGCAUCUUUGCCUUGUUCCUGAUCCUAGUGGAAAUGCUACUAGUCCUUCCCCAUUGAAUAAGACACUGGCUUUAGGAUUAAAUUUCUAUGAAGAUCCUGUUAUCUUUUCCUUUGGUUUGUUAAUAUGGUAAAUGACACUGGUGGAUAUCCUGAUACUGAAUCCAUCUUUCAUUUCUCGAAAACAUCCUACUUGGUCAUGGUAUGUAGUUUUCUUAAUGUGGUGUUGGAUCCUGUUUAGUAUUUAAUUUAAUAUUUUUGCAUUGAUAUUCAUGAGUGGUACUGGUCUGUAGUUUUCUUUCUUUGUUGUCUUUAUCUGGUUUAUCAGUGUUAUAUUUUGCUCUGUAAAAGGAGUUGGGAUAUUUUCUGUAGUUCUCGGGGCUCUGGGAUAAUUUGUGUAGAGCAUUGGAACUGUCUGGUAGGUUCAGUAGAAUUCGCCUGUGAAGCCAUCUGGUCCUGGUGCUUCUUGUGGGGUCCUUGUUUAAGAAUCCUCUCUGGGUCUCCUAUGGAAUUCAUCUGCCUAAGAUUUGCAACUCUAAUAGGGUCAGUUUUGGUCAUCUGAAUUUCCUUAGGAAGUUACCCAUUUCAUCUUCCUUUUCAAAUUCAUUUGCAUAGAGGUCUGCAAAGUAGUCUCUUAGGAUUUUUAAAAUUUCUUCCAUUUCAUUGGUUAUUUCCCCCGUGCCAUUUCUUACUCUCUAUGUUUGUGCUUUCUUGCUUUUGUCUUGAUCAACUUAGCUGGUGGUUUGUCUAUUUGGUUAAUUUCCCCCUCAAAAGAACCCAGGAUUUUGAUUUAUUAGUUAGAUCUACUGGUUUUCAACAGAAAAACCUCUCCCUCAUAAAUCAGCUUUUCCAUCCCUGUUUCCUUCCUCAUGUUUUCUUUUGGAUUACUGUUGUUCUUUUUCUUGUUUUCAUGCACUGACAUUUAUUAAUUUAUUAAUUUUAUUCUUUCAUUUUUAUUUGUAAAAGUGUUAGUCUAAUGAGUUGUUCUCUGAUUACUGCUUUAAAUGCAUUCCAUAGAUUCUGAUAUGCAGUGUUUUUUUUGUAAUUAUUUUUUUAAAAUUCUGUACUUUCAGAUUGUAUUUCCUCUUUCACCUGAGAGUCAAUAGUAGAAUUUUUAAACAUCCAGGUGGGGAUGCCUUUCUGUUUUUUGUUUUUAUUAAUAAUGUAUAGUUUUAUUGCAUUGUGAUCGGAAAGUGGUGUUUUCAAUAUUUCUACCUUAUGGAAAUUAUUGUGUUUUCUUUGUGACCUAAUAUAUGAUCAGUUGUUGUGAACGUGCUUUAGGUUCUUGAGAAGAAUGUGUAUUCCCUGUUAUCAGGGUUUGGAGUUCAAUAUAUAUACACAGAUCUACCUUGAUUGAUGACGUUGUUUAGAUCUUCCAUCUCCUUACUUAUUUUUUGCACACGUGCUCUGCCUUGCACUGAGAGUGGUGUAGUAAAUCUCCUAUUGGUAUUAUGUUUCUAACUAUCUCCUUGCAUCUCCUGUAGUGUUUGAUUCAUAGAAGUAGUGGUUGUAUUAUUUGGUGCAUAGAGGUUCACACACAUCAUGUCUUCAUUGUGGUCUGUGGCUUUUAGCAUUAAAUAUGUCCUCUGUUGUGUUUAAUGCUUUGGGGCUUGAAUUCAAUUUGGUCUACUCCUGCCAUCUUUUGUUUUCAUUGGCCAGGUAUAACUUUCUCCAUCCUUUUAAUUUUCAGCCUUUCAGAAUUACUUUUUUAGGAGUGCCUCUUAUAUACAGCAUAUAGUUGGGUCUUGUUUUGUGAGUCAAAUUAAAACCCUUUUUGUUUUAAUAGAUGAGUUAAACCCAUUAAUAUUUAUUCACAGGGCUGAUCUGUUUGCUUGCAACUCUAUCAUAAUUUGUAAUUAUGUGUAUUUUGUUAUAUUUGUGGUUUCCUUCUCUGUGAGAUCUGUAUUCUUUGAUCUUUUAUUGAGAUUUUUAAAUUUGGGUGUAAAAGGACGUGUAUUUUCUAGUGAUUGCUUUUGUAUUUAAACCUAUUUUAAUGUCCUUAGGAACCUGUUGUAUUAUUUAACUCUGUACUGUCUCAUUUAUCAGUUUUUUCUGGUACUGCUUAACACGCAUCUGUUGCUUACACAGUAUUGUCAUAUACAUAAUCAGAAUUUUUCCUCUUUCCCUCCUUCAUUUCCCAUUUCUGCUUUGUUGCAGUACAUAAUAUUUGCAUAUUAGUCUUUCAGCCUAAUCCCACUUUUAUUUUAGUCCUAGAUGUAUAUCUAAAUACUUUUAAAUGCUUACCGUACAUCCUUUUGCUGGAAUUUUCCCAGUCAUCACUUGGUUAGAUAAAACUUACCCUCACACAGAGUCCUCCAGAAGGGCUGAUGGAUGUGGUGUUCUCUAAGCUUGUGUAUUUUGGGAACUGUUUUUCUAUAGCCUUGAUGUUUGAAGGACAGCUUGUGGAUUUAAAAUUCUUGGUUCAUACUUUCUUUCACUGAGUUUUAACAAUGUUGGUCCGUUGUUGUCUUACUUACUGUUGGUUUUGAAAAGCCUGAUGCCAGCCCAGUUCUUUGCACGUUCAUUGAUCUCUUUGCCCAGGGGCCUUGAGGAUUUAUCUGUGAAAUCUGAGCAUUUAAUCAGGAUGUGACUCAGAGUCUGUCACUCUGGGUUAAUUUUCCCAGGCACGUGUGAGCCCUCUCAUUUCCAGAUUCAAUUCUUUUCCUGUCUCUGGAAGUUUUCUUGGAUGAUAGUUCUAAGUAUCAGCUUUGUUCUGUUGUUGUGUUUUCCCUUCCAGGAGCUCUGGUUUGUGAACACCAUUCCUUCUUUGUCUCCCAUUCCCGCUGCUUUCAUUUUACCCUUUUACUUCUUUCUUUAUGUCGUUUUCCUCCUGUUGGUCGUGUUCCUGUCUUUCCUCAGUGCCCUUUAUUAAUCUUCAUUUGAACUUACUUUGCUCAGGCGCUUUGUAAUGUACUCCUCAUUUCUGCAAUGAUUUUGACUUUUCCUUCCAUCACUUUCCGGAGCUCAUUCAACUCUCUUCCUUUCUCCCUGUUUUCUCCCUUUCUGUCUUUAAUUUUGCAUUUCUAGUUCAAGGUGGUUUUUCGAAUCCUCAGAUGUUUGUUUGAAUAUGUUUACUUGUGUUGCUGGAGUGUUGGAUUAGAAUUUUCUUUGCUUCAUGGUUGUUUUCCAGGAGGACAUUUCUGUGGUGUGGGGGUGUUUCUACAAGGUUGCUAGCCCAGGCACCUCUGGCAUCAGCUGGCCAAGUCCAGGCGCUGCACGCUUGUUUGUUUUGAUGACUGACGGGGGAGGGGUGCAUCUCCUGGUAUUAUGGUCCUCUUUUCUUGUAGUGCCCUAAACUUUCCCUUUUUCUUCUUUCUAUCUUCACGACCCAGUUGCCAAAGGGCACUUCUCCCUUCCUCUUUUGCUUUUUUUCUUUGCCAGAAGCUAUGGGCUUUGAAGGAUGCCUCUUUAAAUGGCGUCUGUCUGUUUAAACUGUGUGGACUCUGGGAUCCCUUCCCUGAGUCCAGGCUCUGUCCACCCAGGUGCUUUCAGAGCUUUUCUGGGGGCAUGCAGGUCACGCUCACCCCGUGCUCGUCUCCCUCUUCUGCCCUCGCUCACCAGAGCCCACGUUGUGGGUGUGGGCCGGCAGCACGAGGGGACCCCACAGUGGGAUCUGGUGGCUUUUCUCUUUUCACUAGUGUUGUUUUCAGAUUUUGGCGUUUUCUCUCCUUAGGUUAUGCCAAGGGUGUGGUCUGAUGUGGAAUUUACUCUCCCUUUUGUGUACUCAUACCAUUUGGGAAGAACUGCAGGGAAGUAACUGAGCUACACGAUUGCCCGCGUCUUCAGCCGCUUGGAGAUCAAGCACUUCUCCCAGGAGACCGUUCUGCCUGGUUUAAGGGGCUCAGAGUUUGACAUUUUUCAUUUUAAUCUUUAAGUAUCUGUUUUAAGACAUGUUAGAGAACAGUAAAACUAGCAGUCUAAACCCAUGAUACAAAGUGUCUGCAUUGAAUAAAUCCAUUACAUUUUUAAAAAGUCAACUUAGAAAAUAUUAAAUAAAUAAUAGUACAGAUAAUAAACAAGUUUGGCGCAAAUAUGAUAGUUUGCAAGUGACUGAAGUUGUGGAGCCGCUGUUGUAACUGGAAGUGUUUCCCGCGUCGGGCGGGAGCUGUCCAGCUGCCGGGGCUGUGGGCUGACCAGGGAGCCAGAGGAGUGUGGCUGUGGGCAGAGGACGACUCCAUGGCCAUUUGCAAAGGUCGUCCCACCUCUCCAACCUCUGUGGCAGUGAAAACAUUGUUAUCCCGCAAAAUACACAAAGCCUUAGGACUUGGAGAGUGAAUAAUUUUUCCUUUAGCGUUAGAAGAUUGCUUUGGUGAUUUAUCUUCUUUAGUUCAUGGAAAAGCAGAAACCAAAUGCUAACUUUCCCAAAGGUUAUCUGUUAGGGACGUUGUGUGCAACUUUUGAAAUAAAUAACCUGAAUUUGCUCUUCAGUGUCACUAAGAGGAAGGAUUAUUCACAUGUGAAUUAUUCAUAUUGUAUUAAGAAAGUAUGUAACGUAACACUGGGCAACAUAUGUUGAAGCAUAUAACUAGCUUCUUGAACAAAAUUUAUGGGGUUUGUACAUUUUCAAUAUCAGUAAACCAGUCACAAUAGUUUAUUGCAGAAGUUUUGGCCAAAACUGUUAAAAUGACUAUUUAUAAAGCUAAGUAAAUAUCAGACAAUGCCAGAAAUAAUGAGGUUAAAUGUAAUUGAUGGUUGUUAUUCCUGAAAGAUGAAGUUUACAGUCCUCUCCUCAAACACCCUAUAAACUUUCCCAGCUCCACAGGGUCUGUAUUGGCAGCUGAAGUUUUCAGAAUUCAAUUCAAUUUGAGUGUUGUGUGCUUUAUGAGGCCAUCUCAGGGAAAUUUUCUUGUUGCAGAAACGGGCAUGCAGAAGACUAGAUGCAGCUGUGCAGGAGUGGGGCUGCGCCCAGGUGAGGGCCAGCACCCUGGGCUCCUGGAGUGUCGAGGAGCUGGAGUUGAAGCACAGAGGCUGCCCCCUUGCGGCAAGGCCAGAGAGCGACCAGGCGCGGCCCGACGCGGGGAUUCCUCAGAAUGGUGGAGGGAGCUUGGCCCAGCCUUGCCCGAGAUGUAUUGCGGGAGAAUCUGGACAUUUUAACCAUACUGAGAAUCGUUAGAAGAUACGAGUUGGGAAAGGAAGAUUCCGAUUCUGGUUUUGAACCUGGCCUGUGACAGCGAAUAUCGGUCUCAUGGAUGGAUGUGGGCACCACCUGUUCAAACAGCAGCCCGCCGUCCCCUCAGUCAGGUACCCGGCCAUCCGCACAGAGCCGGAGGGGCCCUCGCCGCGCGGGAGCCGGCACACCCUCAGUGCUCGCCGCUCCUGCCUUCAGACGGAUCUCGCUCUAGAAGGAGAUCAGCUGCAUUAUUUACAAGUUGAAAAGACUCAGUGUCGAGCUUCCUGUGAGGUUGAGGACCCCGUGGCCUCUGGAACCGUGUCCAGACACAGCCCUGCUUUUACACUGUUCAGUUGUUCCGUGGAGCAUCCAGGGCUGCUUCUCUACUCUCUUUAAUUAAAAGACUUAUUUUUAUAUUUAAAAUGCUUAUAAUCUUAAACUGAAUUUUACUAAAUGCUGGUAUCCUAUCUGUUCUGUGUAAUUCUCCAGCUGAAGUUAUCAGACAUGGGACCCCUUUUAUAUUAAAAUGGAGAUUUCUCAUUUUCUCUUGGGUUUCCAGUGUCUCGUCUGACUGGCGACUGGUGUCAUUUCCCUUGGUCUCAAGGCUUCCUGAGAUGUCCUGUGCACAGGAUAGACAAGGUCCCAGUGAAGCCUCUGGGUUGCUCUCAGGCUCUUUACCCUUCAAACCAGAGGCAGGCCGAAGGGCCUGUGCUCUGUGUUCACUGUGUCGUCCACGUGGCCAUGUUCUCUCCCUCAGCGUUGGCACUCUGCAGAGCCCAGGCCUUAAGCAAUCACGGUAUGUGGUUGUGGAGGGCAUUUCAUGUUGGAAAGGUGGAGGGACGGGACAGAACACAGGUGUGGCAAGGACACAAGUACAGUACCCUUAGUGCUCUGGGUUAUCCCGAAUCCAGGACACGCUGCCGUGUUGCGGGAAACACAGCUGAGUCCUGCCCCGGCGUCUUUGGGGGUCACUAAACACUUAACCCCGAGAAAGAUCACAGAACUGGGACUAGAGGAGGAAACGCCAGUCCUGUGGGAACAGCCAAGGCUGACAGAGGGAGAGAAGCGAUUGAGAUUUGUGGCCUUAAAAUGUAUGCUUUUAAAGAGCUUUAGUUUACUCCUCUCUUUUCAAAAUGAGAUGGACGUCUUAAGUUUUAUGGAAAAAAUGAAAAUUCUUAGAUUGACAACAUUUUCUUUUUGUGUGUCGGCUCUUC